rnacentral:tRNA from 1 species
GCCAAUUAAGUGUUUUAUUAUGCACAUUGACUUUUCACGUCAAAGGGGCACACAGUGCACUUGGCU